UGGCGGCGUGCUUAACACAUGCAAGUCGAACGAAGCACCUUGAUUUGAUUCUUCGGAUGAAGAUCUUGGUGACUGAGUGGCGGACGGGUGAGUAACGCGUGGGUAACCUGCCUCAUACGGGGGGAUAACAGUUAGAAAUGACUGCUAAUACCGCAUAAGACCACAGCACCGCAUGGUGCAGGGGCAAAAACUCCGGUGGUAUGAGAUGGACCCGCGUCUGAUUAGGUAGUUGGUGGGGUAACGGCCUACCAAGCCGACGAUCAAUAGCCGACCUGAGAGGGUGACCGGCCACAUUGGGACUGAGACACGGCCCAAACUCCUACGGGAGGCAGCAGUGGGGAAUAUUGCACAAUGGGGGAAACCCUGAUGCAGCGACGCCGCGUGAGCGAUGAAGUAUUUCGGUAUGUAAAGCUCUAUCAGCAGGGAAGAAAAUGACGGUACCUGACUAAGAAGCACCGGCUAAAUACGUGCCAGCAGCCGCGGUAAUACGUAUGGUGCAAGCGUUAUCCGGAUUUACUGGGUGUAAAGGGAGCGUAGACGGAGUGGCAAGUCUGAUGUGAAAACCCGGGGCUCAACCACGGGACUGCAUUGGAAACUGUCAAUCUAGAGUACCGGAGAGGUAAGCGGAAUUCCUAGUGUAGCGGUGAAAUGCGUAGAUAUUAGGAGGAACACCAGUGGCGAAGGCGGCUUACUGGACGGUAACUGACGUUGAGGCUCGAAAGCGUGGGGAGCAAACAGAAUUAGAUACCCUGGUAGUCCACGCCGUAAAC
rnacentral:rRNA from 1 species